AAAGAGGCCCGAGGAGUGAUGUCACAUGGUUCUUGUCUGUAGAGGCAUCUUAUUAUGUAGAGGUUCUUAUCCUUGUUCUUGGUUAUGAAGAGCAGCUGAUCUAUCUUGAGGCAAACUAGUGAUGGAAAUUUGGACAGGGAGAUUUUAGAGAAAAUCAAAUUACACCAUGGACCUCGAUUCCCUUCUGCUACAACUUCAGUUGCUCCAUCUUCACCAACCUCACCAUCUUCUGCCUCUCCUUCAUCUGCACCACCGGUUCCUACCGCUCCACCUGCACCACCCUCAGCUCCACCUUCACCUGCCUCAUCAUCGUCUGCUUCACCUUCACCUACCUCACCUUCUCUUGAUCCUCCUUUGCCAGACAUCAUAAAACAAAUAAAGGCAGAAAAUGAAGCCCUCAAAUUGGAAUUAGAGGAACUAAAAACAAAUGUUGUCAGUCAAAUGCCAAAACUCCUUUGUACGAUGGGCAAGCUGGGGAAAUGGCUUGACGCAAAAGAGCAGAGCCCACAGGAACAACUGGUAUCACCUUCCAGCAUACAGGAAACUCUUGAAAUUCACCCGGGCUCAGGAGUUUAUGCUCCAAAAAAAUGUGUUGUGGUCAGCUAGCCAUGCAAACAGCCCGACUACCAUGGCACGGAUGCUUCUCAUUGGAGUUUUUGAUAUUGAGACACUACUAAAGAGCAAUCUCAGAGAUUGAACAUCAUAUCCCUGCGAUGGACUGGCGACCUGUCCAGGGUGUCCCCCGCCUUUCGCCCUAUGUUAGCUGGGAUAGGCUCCAGCCCCCCGCGACCCUGUACACAGGAUAAGCGGUUGACGAUGGAUGGAUGGAUGGAUGGAUGAACAUCAUAUCUGAAGUCUUUGGUGGGGAAGUCCAAAAAUGCAAGCCCUGGGGAAACAAAAGAGCCAUUGGACAGAAUAAAAAUUGAUGCGAUAAUGAGUAUGUAUAUUACUUGGUUAAUUGGGCUUGAAUUGUGUAAAACCAAAUGUGACAGUAAAACCAUCAGAAUUGAUCAGUUUCAGCUUGUUGUUUCCAUGUGAUGACACUUACACUGGGUUCUGAAUAAUGCUUAAAUUUUGAGAUGGUCCUCACUGCAGAACCCUAAAUCCUAACCCUUACAUAUACCUAAUCCUACCCAUCUCCACCCCUGAUCCCUAAACCCACCCCUAAUCCUACCCAUCUCCACCCCUGAUCCCUAAACCCACCCCUAAUCCUACCCAUCUCCACCCCUUAGAUCUGGAUCCAACUCUGCCCCCUGGAUCUCGUGUACUGCAAUGAGGUGCUACUGUAAAUUUCAGUAACAUUAAGUUUGUUAUCUACCAAACAAUGUAUGUACUGUGUUAAUUUAGUGUUUUGGGUGAUUAUAAUUUGUCUGUCUUUAGAUAAAUGUUAUAAAACUAAAAUGCUUUUCUUUGUCUUUUAUACAGAUGCAGUGAUCCAGAAAUUUCCAGGAACUACCAGGGGCCAAUUAGGGGUGGCAAUUAAUCAGAAGGUCACUAAGCUGCGGUCAUCCAAAAAGGCUCAAAAUUAAAAAAUGAACAGGCUGUAUCUUACCUGUUGGUUGAUUUUCCUGUUCUUGUCUUGUUUUAUGUUUUGUUCUAAUAUUGUAUUUGUAUAAUACAGUUGUGUGUUGAGUGUUCAGUAGUUUUCA